GCCUUCGUAGUGUAGUGGUCGGUCAACACGCUCGGUGGGUAUCGGAGAGGUUCCUGGUUCGAGUCCCGGCGACGGCA
rnacentral:tRNA from 1 species